rnacentral:tRNA from 1 species
AAACUUUGUGAUCUGUCGUCCAUAUACAGCUUCGGUGGGAAGGAUGUAGAGUUAGCCUCU